rnacentral:sRNA from 1 species
CUGCCCAGAAACGUCUGUGGGAAAGUCUGUGUGCGUACCUGGUCAUGGAGUAUUACGUGGGCGGGGACCUGCUGACACUGCUGAGCAAGUUUGGGGAGCGGAUUCCAGCCGAGAUGGCGCGCUUCUACCUGGCGGAGAUUGUCAUGGCCAUAGACUCGGUGCACCGGCUUGGCUACGUGCACAGGGACAUCAAACCCGACAACAUCCUGCUGGACCGCUGUGGCCACAUCCGCCUGGCCGACUUCGGCUCUUGCCUCAAGCUGCGGGCAGAUGGAACGGUGCGGUCGCUGGUGGCUGUGGGCACCCCAGACUACCUGUCCCCCGAGAUCCUGCAGGCUGUGGGCGGUGGGCCUGGGACAGGCAGCUACGGGCCCGAGUGUGA